rnacentral:lncRNA from 1 species
UAAAGCUCUUCUCCAUCUUGCUAAGCCUCCAUUUGUCCGCAAUACCUCAUCUCCCUGGACGCAGGACAAGAACUCAGGACCCGCCUGGAGGUGCCCACAGCAGAAUCCACAUGCCGUCCAUCUGGUCCAGCCUCACGCAGAGCCACAACUGUGCUGGCGCCUGGAGCUGCCAGCCCCACUGCAGCAGCCGGACUGACAUUCAGACGUGGAGCAAGUUGGACUGCAUAGGGACCCACCAGUGAGAUGGACGCUGUCUGUAAACGACUUUCACUGAAUGUGCUAAGAAGAGAAACCCCUCUGCAGACACACACAGACGUUCUGCAGUUUCCCAAUCUCUGGUGCAGUUCUGGCCUUUUGGGGCUUUAAGGGCUUUGGCUAAGGUUCUCCAGGGAGGCUGCUCUGCCAAGUCUGGUAUUUCAUGAAUAGAUCUGAAAACAGACAUUAUCUCUUCUCCCAGUGAAGAGAGAGCGAUGAAGCCUCAGGACAAAAGGAGGCAGUGGGAUGAUGCCACCAAGGGACCAUUCUGAAGAGCCAUCAGCAAAAAGCAGCCACACCUGCUUAUGUGGCUCUGGGACAAAUGAUCUGAGCCGUGACGUGGAACUUAGAUGCAGUAAAGUCCAUUGUAUUGAGCCUUCUCUGGCACUCCUCCCAAAACAGAGAGACAACAGUUCUGUUAUGUUUUGUUUGGUUUGGUCUCCCUCAACUCAUCAAUGAGCCUUUUUAAAAAGAAUAAUUCGGUACUUUCUUUAAAGGUGGUAGAAUUGGCUCUUACUCUAGUCUGUUUUCUCCUUCCUAAGGGAGGAGCAUCCUUCUUGUUAACACAGAACCCCAAACUAUCUGAUCAGAAAGAAAAUAAUUCAAUCUGCUGUUUGAAUUGACUUCCAGCAGCGUCUUAAAUUUUAAUUGGCCCCCGGCCUAAAACAACCUCAAACUGUAUGUCUUCCAUACUCCUCUCACCACCACCAUCACCACUGCCCCUACAACCACUCUAAGCAUAGUACAUAUGGUGAACAUACCAUGAUAUUGAAUGCUAUUCUCACUCUGCCUUCUCUUAAUCUGAUCUUACUCAGGUUCUGACAGUUGACGCUGAAAACAUUUUUUGUUGUUGUUGUGGUUGAGACAGAGUUUCGCACUUGUUGCCCAGGCUGGAGUACAGUGGUGCGAUCUCGGCUCACUGCAACCUCCGCCUCCCGGGUUCAAGUGAUUCUCCUGCCUCAGCUCCCCAAGUAGCUGGGAUUACAGGCAUGUGCCACCAUGCCUGACUAAGUUUGUAUUUUUAGUAGAGACGGGGUUUCUCCAUGUUGGUCAGGCUGAUCUCGAACUCCCGACCUCAGGUGAUCCGCCUGCCUCGGCCUCCCAAAGUGCUGGGAUUACUGGUGUGAGCCACCAUGCCCGGCCAUGACACUGAAAACAUUUUAAAGGAGAAACAGAUUACCAAUUAUCCAUAAAGAUGAGAAUUAUCUGGCAACAUUUUGGUUAGAUGAAAACUGUGACUAGAGAGCUAACAAAAACAAACACAAUGAGCACUAGAUAUCUGCCAGGCAUUGUUCACAGCCCCUUUUUUGGUCUCAUCUGAUCCUUGCUGUAGAUCAGGAAUCAACAAACUAAGCUUUCACCACUUGUCAGGGGUAAAGCCAUGUCAGUCUGAGUCCCAAUGCCACACUGUUAGCCACUCUCCCACACCACCUGCUCCAACUAUUUGAAGAAGGAGAAUGUUUUUCCAGUUAAUAAAGUUAAUAGU